rnacentral:rRNA from 1 species
GACGAACCGAGCGAACGUUGUUCGGAAUCACUGGGCUUAAAGGGCGCGUAGGCGGGCAUUCAAGUCCGGGGUGAAAUCCUCCAGCUCAACUGGAGAACUGCCUCGGAUACUGGGUGUCUCGAGGGUGGUAGGGGUAUGCGGAACUAUCGGUGGAGCGGUGAAAUGCGUUGAUAUCGAUAGGAACUCCGGUGGCGAAGGCGGCAUACUGGACCACAUCUGACGCUGAGGCGCGAAAGCCAGGGGAGCGAACGGG